rnacentral:misc_RNA from 1 species
GAAAGGAUAUCCAAUUACAAAAAAGUAAAUUGCUUCAUCAUAUGCAAAAUCAGUCCAUUAAUAAAUUUAAACAAACUAUACAAAAACAAGUAAACAACAUUCUGCAUAUUCUCAUGACUAUAAUCAAAGAGUUCAGCAUUUCCCUUUCAUAGUCAAAAUUUUCCAAGAAAAUCACAAUAGAAAGAACAUUUGUAUUGUAGGUGUUUCUUAAGCCUAGCAGAAAAAUUGUGAGCAUAUGGACUUCCUGAUAAAAAUCAAUUACUUAAUAUGAUAUUUCCACAGUCAAAGCCAUGUUUACAUCAAAUUGGCCAAUCAACAUAGAAUUAUAAUCUACAAAAUCUAACAAGAAAAAAUAUGAACCAGCUUGCCAUUAAAUUGAGAAUUAAAAAUGAGACACACUACCUUUAGUGAUGAUGACACUUCAAGGAACUAUGUAAAAGCAAAAGCAUCAGGCAAAUUGAACAUGCAUGCAAAAGAUUCAUACAGAUUCAAACUUGAUUUUAUAGAGGAGCAAGAGUUAAUCUCUCUCUCUCACUCUCUCUCU